AUUGAACGCUGGCGGCAGGCCUAACACAUGCAAGUCGAACGGUAACAGGAAACAGCUUGCUGUUUCGCUGACGAGUGGCGGACGGGUGAGUAAUGUCUGGGAAACUGCCUGAUGGAGGGGGAUAACUACUGGAAACGGUAGCUAAUACCACAUAACGUCGCAAGACCAAAGAGGGGGACCUUCGGGCCUCUUGCCAUCGGAUGUGCCCAGAUGGGAUUAGCUAGUAGGUGGGGUAACGGCUCACCUAGGCGACGAUCCCUAGCUGGUCUGAGGGGAUGACCAGCCACACUGGAACUGAGACACGGUCCAGACUCCUACGGGAGGCAGCAGUGGGGAAUAUUGCACAAAGGGCGCAAGCCUGAUGCAGCCAUGCCGCGUGUAUGAAGAAGGCCUUCGGGUUGUAAAGUACUUUCAGCGGGGAGGAAGGGAGUAAAGUUAAUACCUUUACUCAUUGACGUUACCCGCAGAAGAAGCACCGGCUAACUCCGUG
rnacentral:rRNA from 1 species